GACAGAGGUUGCAAACGUUGUUCGGAAUUACUGGGCAUAAAGCGCACGUAGGUGGUCCGCUAAGUCGUGUGUGAAAUACCCCGGCUCAACCGGGGAAUUGCGCACGAUACUGGCGGGCUCGAGGUCGGGAGGGGUGAGUGGAACUCCUGGUGGAGCGGUGAAAUGCGUAGAUAUCAGGAGGAACACCGGUGGCGAAAGCGGCUCACUGGACCGUCUCUGACGCUGAGGUGCGAAAGCUAGGGUAGCAAACGGG
rnacentral:rRNA from 1 species